CGCGUAGGCGGAUUGUUAAGUCAGAUGUGAAAACCGGGGGCUUAACCCGCGGCCUGCAUCUGAAACUGGCAGUCUUGAGUCUGGUAGAGGAAAGUGGAAUUCCCAGUGUAGCGGUGAAAUGCGCAGAUAUUGGGAGGAACACCAGUGGCGAAGGCGGCUUUCUGGGCCACGACUGACGCUGAGGCGCGAAAGCUAGGGGAGCGAACAGGAUUAGAUACCCUGGUAGUCCUAGCCGUAAACGAUGGGCACUAGGUGUGGGGGGUCGAUCAACUCCCUCCGUGCCGCAGCUAACGCAUUAAGUGCCCCGCCUGGGGAGUACGGCCGCAAGGCUAAA
rnacentral:rRNA from 1 species